AUCAAAUGGAUGCUGUUAAUCAGUUGGAACCCGCUCAAGAUUCGCUCAAGUGGAUCACUGACUACCUUAUCAAUGCUCAUGCUGCGGACAUGUGCUUUAUAUUCAGGUUGGUGAUCCUAAGACAGACCAUGGUUGUUGGGACAGGCCUGAGGACAUGACUGAGAAGAGGCCUCUCACUCAGGUGAACACAUCUUCUCCCGNNNNNNUGCAGCUGAAACUGCAGCAGCUAUGGCUUCAGCAUCGCUGGUGUUUAAGAAAAGUGACCCCACAUAUUCAAGCACUCUCCUUGAGCAUGCAGAACAAUUAUUUAGUUUUGCUGAUAAACAUAGAGGUUCCUAUAGUAAGAGCAUCCCCCCAGUCACAUAUUGAAGAUAUGAUUGAUCCCCUGUAGCAUGGUAGAGCCAGCUAGCUGCCCACAGGAGCUCAUCUCCAUAUCCUGUUGAAUUGUAAUAAGUCUGAACUUGG
rnacentral:misc_RNA from 1 species